UACGGAGGGUGCAAGCGUUAUCCGGAUUCACUGGGUUUAAAGGGUGCGUAGGAGGGCAGGUAAGUCAGUGGUGAAAUCUCCGGGCUUAACCCGGAAACUGCCAUUGAUACUAUAGGUCUUGAAUAUUGUGGAGGUUAGCGGAAUAUGUCAUGUAGCGGUGAAAUGCUUAGAUAUGACAUAGAACACCAAUUGCGAAGGCAGCUGGCUACGCAUAUAUUGACACUGAGGCUCGAAAGCGUGGGGAUCAAACAGG
rnacentral:rRNA from 1 species